AGAUGUAAGAGCAGUCUGGCCAUGACAUUUGUGACCCCAGUGAUGUCCGGGGUUGAUUAAGCUGAUCUGACUGGCUAGGCAGGUAGUUCCCUUCCUCCCUCACUGCUUUUUUCCCUAAGCUGCAUGCUUGGUCAGGUUUGGGCAGAGAGGACCUUUCUCCGGUCAAGGGUCUAUGAGUAGCUGCGCUCCUCUGCUGGAACGUCCAACAAGCCCUCAAAGUCCAUUUGUAGGAGAACGUAGGGUAGUCAGGCUUCCAAGUCUCCUGACGCAUCCAGAUGAGGCGCUGCAUGUGGCAGUCUGCCUCUCUUU
rnacentral:snRNA from 1 species